rnacentral:rRNA from 1 species
GACGAACGCUGGCGGCGUGCCUAAUACAUGCAAGUAGAACGCUGAAGGAGGAGCUUGCUUCUCUGGAUGAGUUGCGAACGGGUGAGUAACGCGUAGGUAACCUGCCUGGUAGCGGGGGAUAACUAUUGGAAACGAUAGCUAAUACCGCAUAAGAGUAGAUGUUGCAUGACAUUUGCUUAAAAGGUGCAAUUGCAUCACUACCAGAUGGACCUGCGUUGUAUUAGCUAGUUGGUGGGGUAACGGCUCACCAAGGCGACGAUACAUAGCCGACCUGAGAGGGUGGUCGGCCACACUGGGACUGAGACACGGCCCAGACUCCUACGGGAGGCAGCAGUAGGGAAUCUUCGGCAAUGGACGGAAGUCUGACCGAGCAACGCCGCGUGAGUGAAGAAAGUUUUCGGAUCGUAAAGCUCUGUUGUAAGAGAAGAACGAGUGUGAGAGUGGAAAGUUCACACUGUGACGGUAUCUUACCAGAAAGGGACGGCUAACUACGUG